rnacentral:tRNA from 1 species
GGAGAGUUGGCAGAGCGGUCGAAUGCGGCGGUCUUGAAAACCGUUGACCUUUCACGAGGUCCCGGGGUUCGAAUCCCUGACUCUCCGCCA